rnacentral:rRNA from 1 species
GAUGAACGCUGGCGGCGUGCCUAAUACAUGCAAGUCGAGCGAACGGACGAGAAGCUUGCUUCUCUGAUGUUAGCGGCGGACGGGUGAGUAACACGUGGAUAACCUACCUAUAAGACUGGGAUAACUUCGGGAAACCGGAGCUAAUACCGGAUGAUAUUUUGAACCGCAUGGUUCAAAAGUGAGAGACGGUCUUGCUGUCACUUAUAGAUGGAUCCGCGCUGCAUUAGCUAGUUGGUACGGUAACGGCUUACCAAGGCAACGAUGCAUAGACGACCUGAGAGGCGGAUCGGCCACACUGGAGCUGAGACACGGUCAAGACUCCUGCGGGAGGCCGCAGUAGGGAAUCUUCCGCAAUGGGCGAAAGCCUGACGGAGCAACGCCGCGUGAGUGAUGAAGGUCUUCGGAUCGUAAAACUCUGUUAUUAGGGAAGAACAUAUGUGUACGUAACUGUGCACAUCUUGACGGUACCUAAUCAGAAAGCCACGGCUAACUACGUG